rnacentral:rRNA from 1 species
UGACGGUAACUUACCAGAAAGGGACGGCUAACUACGUGCCAGCAGCCGCGGUAAUACGUAGGUGGCAAGCGUUAUCCGGAUUUAUUGGGCGUAAAGGGAACGCAGGCGGUUUUUUAAGUCUGAUGUGAAAGCCUUCGGCUUAACCGGAGAAUAGCAUUGGAAACUGGAAGACUUGAGUGCAGAAGAGGAGAGUGGAACUCCAUGUGUAGCGGUGAAAUGCGUAGAUAUAUGGAAGAACACCAGUGGCGAAAGCGGCUCUCUGGUCUGUAACUGACGCUGAGGUUCGAAAGCGUGGGUAGCAAACAGGAUUAGAUACCCUG